rnacentral:tRNA from 1 species
GAGGGUAUAGCUCAGUGGUAGAGUGCGUGCUUAACAUGCACAAGGUCCUGGGUUCAAUUCCCAGAACCCUUA